rnacentral:rRNA from 1 species
ACUCCUACGGGAGGCAGCAGUGGGGAAUAUUGGACAAUGGGCGCAAGCCUGAUCCAGCCAUGCCGCGUGAGUGAUGAAGGCCCUAGGGUUGUAAAGCUCUUUCACCGGUGAAGAUAAUGACGGUAACCGGAGAAGAAGCACCGGCUAACUUCGUGCCAGCAGCCGCGGUAAUACGAAGGGGGCUAGCGUUGUUCGGAUUUACUGGGCGUAAAGCGCACGUAGGCGGACUAUUAAGUCAGGGGUGAAAUCCCGGGGCUCAACCCCGGAACUGCCUUUGAUACUGGUAGUCUUGAGUUCGAGAGAGGUGAGUGGAAUUCCGAGUGUAGAGGUGAAAUUCGUAGAUAUUCGGAGGAACACCAGUGGCGAAGGCGGCUCACUGGCUCGAUACUGACGCUGAGGUGCGAAAGCGUGGGGAGCAAACAGGAUUAGAAACCCCGGUAGUCCC